rnacentral:lncRNA from 1 species
AUCUUUGGAGUGAUUUAUUACACUGACACAUAAGGAAGUCACCCUCUUUCUCCAGGUUGCCUCCUCACGUCUUCCCUAUCAGGAUCUCCUUCCACACUUAGUGCUCAGUGGAAGGUCCAGGUGGCUGAGGGUGGCGGUAGCUAGAGAGUAGUGAUAGGGACAGGAGGCAGGGAAAUUCUGGGCGGAAGAGGGCAGGUCCCCGGCAAAGGCUCCACCCUCAAACCUGGAACCGCAGCCUAAAGUGAGAACAUUUAGCAUUGCCUGUUUCACUGCUAGAAUGUUGCGUUUUCCAAAACCACCCAUGGCCCACCUUGCCCCCAAUUCUGCGCAUAUAAAAACUCCAGGCUUCGCCUGCAGAGAAGAGGAGAAGCGGCGGGACCUCAGAGACUAUGGAUGGACCUUGGAGAGAAGCAGCUUGACUCCAGAGGGACAGCUUGACAGCGUUGCUUCAUAGAGGAGUCUGGCCGUUCCCAGCCAGACUCUGGGGGAAGAUUAUCUUCCCACUCUAUCCCCUUUCCAGCUCCCCUUUCAUCAGCAAUAAAAUCAUCUGUGUCACCACCCUUCAAUUCAUUCGUGCAACCUGAUUUUUCUUGGACGCUGAACAAGAGCUCAGGUGCCACGGGUGCAGAUACUAAAGGCUGUCACACUGAUUCUCUGCCCUCGCUGGUGGAGAGCAACCGCCUCAUGCAAAAAGGCAGAGGGCCCACUGAGGUGUUUUACACUUAAGCUGUCCAUGGAUGGCAAAGCUAAAAGAGCACUGUCACACACGCCCUCUGGGGCUUCCGGGCUCGCAGGUGCUCCCCCUAGCCGCACAGAGUUUUGCUCCUGCCAGUGCCCAAAAGCACUUGCCCUGGCUCCUGCACCCACUCACCCAUGCUCCCCCCUCCUGCAAGGGGUUGAACGCAAUGGGACAGAGUGAGUGGAGUCUUCUGCCGGCAUCCAAGUGGCUGGCUACUUCUAGCACCUGUGCACUCCAGUUCCCACCUGCCAAGGGGUCAGGGAAAUUUUCCUGCUUCAGUAGGAAUAUGAACACCGAGCCCUAUCAAAAGGGUACAUGAGUUGUUUUACUUUAGAAAUAGAUGAAAAACAUGUAGAUUUCACUAACUAUUUUUGACUACUUGCAGAAAUUGAAAGUUAAAAAUAUGCUCAGCAUUUUAGAGGUUUUGCAUUGCAAUGAAGAUACGUGAAGGUAGGUGCAUACUGCUGGCCCUCAUGGCUUUAAGCAAAGUAGAUACAAGAUAAGCAUACUUAAAAACAAACAACCUGAAGCAGAUUAACAAUAUUUGGCCGUGCAGAAGAGAGUGUGGGAAGCAUUACCAUGAGACUGUAAUUUCGUAGCUUUUAUCUGACCAGAUAGACAGCUCUGCUGGUUGAAAAUUUGGUGCUCAUAAGUCCACAAACCAACCUUACCCUGCCUAGGUCUUUGAAGUAGAGCAUUGCUCAUGUUUUGCAGAUUAUGUUUUUAUCACUGUUAAAACUCAGGUUAAGUCCCAAAUCCUUUGACCAAUAAUAAUGUAUUCUAAUUAUUAAGCACCUAUACCAGGUACCCUGCAAAGUGUUUCCCAGUCAUUGCUAUUACUUUUUGAAACUAAUCUGAAAUAGAGUUAUCAUCAUCUAUUAGAAAUGAGACAAAUAACUUUCAAGGAGAAUGAGUAACUAGCCUAAUAUCAUAUGGUUAGUGAGCUGCAACUUAAAUCUGGAUCUAUGGUACCCCAUUAUCACUCUUCUCAGACCCCAUAACCCCUUCUUCAUAGGGAGAUGAGGAUGACAUAAAUUUGUUUAUCUGAAGAGAUUCUGCUAGGGAAAAGCAAGAAAUGUGACUAUUAAGCUCUUUGUUCUUGCCAUCUAAACUCUUCUCAGGGCCCUGUAGAAAGUUAAUGGCUAUUCCAUGGGAAACCAAGAAUAUAUUUGUGGCAGGCAAUUUGUUGCCUAUUUAGUAGCUACUUCUUAUCUUCUAUGAGAACUUAAAAUCCUGUUGGUCUAAGCAUGGUAACCCCAUUUCUCUUUACUGUGAUUGAUUUAAGGACGGGCAUGUGACAGAGUUCUGGCCAACAGGAUUUCAGGAACAGAGAAGUUGCUUUGGGGAAGGAUUCUGCUUCCUAAUAAACGAAGGUGCUGGCAAAGAUAUUGACAUCUAGCUUCCUUGAACGUGGGAGAAUGUGACGUUUGGAGCUGCAUCAAUCAUCUUGUGACCUUAAAGAGACAAGCCUGAGGAUAAGAAGACAUGGAGGAGGGCAGAGCGAAGGCCAGGAGGAAGCCUGGAUCCUGACCAUACGGCUGAGCUACAGAUCAGUUUCUAAGGCCAGACUUCUGGCUAUGUUAGGGAUUGAUUGAGUUAUCACCCAAACCAGGAUCCUUUUCAGAAUGGAAGUGGGUACUAUCAGAAAUAGCACAAAUACAAACAUGGCACAGUGGGACAUGUGGUCAGCCCUAUGUGAGGUCUCGGAGUGUUAUUAUUGCUGUCACAAAUAUUCUACUACUUGCAACCCAAAUCAGUCCUAGCUUAUAUAUAU